GUGUCAGCAGCCGCGGUAACACCGGCGGCCCGAGUGGUGACCGUUAUUAUUGGGUCUAAAGGGUCCGUAGCCGGUUUGGUCAGUCCUCCGGGAAAUCUGAUAGCUUAACUGUUAGGCUUUCGGGGGAUACUGCCAGGCUUGGAACCGGGAGAGGUAAGAGGUACUACAGGGGUAGGAGUGAAAUCUUGUAAUCCCUGUGAGACCACCUGUGGCGAAGGCGUCUUACCAGAACGGGUUCGACGGUGAGGGACGAAAGCUGGGGGCACGAACCGGAUUAGAUACCCGGGUAGUCCCAGCCGUAAACUAUGCUCGCUAGGUGUCAGGCAUGGCGCGACCGUGUCUGGUGCCGCAGGGAAGCCGUGAAGCGAGCCACCUGGGAAGUACGGCCGCAAGGCUGAAACUCAAAGGAAUUGACGG
rnacentral:rRNA from 1 species